AGGCUGCGCGCGCCCGCACCGCAUCGCCGCUUUGCCCCGCGACCGCGCGCGCCUCCUCGUCCUCCCCCGCGCCUUUGUUUCCGUCUCCUUCUCCUUUCCCUCCUCUUUUGUGUCGGGCCAGACUCAGCCCCAGAAACCAGCCACCCUGCCGCGUCCGACUGCCAGGGAUCCCUCACGCCGCGAGUACCAGAGAUGUCUCCAAGAGCACCAGCAACCCCAGCUAUCUGGAUCUGAAGUGGAUAUGCUCAGAGACAUCCUGGCCCACCCCAAAGAAGAUGCUGCUGCACUCAGAAGACGCCAGAGCUAGCCACCACCCACACUGCAAGUCUGGAAGCUCUGCAAGGACCCAGCAAGGCAGCCUGCUCAGCGAAGGCUUUGUCUCCUGUGGCAGGAAGAGCAACAUUAAGAACAAGAACCCCGGGCUGGACUACCCCUGAGAUUUAAUGACCAGAGCUGAGACCCCCAAGACCACAAUGACUAUGGAGGGCUGUCAUUACCCUGCCUGACCCUCUAAUGCCUCUCAGUUCAAGGAGGCCACUGAGUGAAACUGAAGGCUGGUUUUCCUUGGAAGCCAGCGGCCCAUCCACCUGCUCCACUUCCCUGCCUCUUGCAGCCUCCGCUCAAACACUGUCGUGGCUUGGCAGCACUACAAGUAUUUCAGGGGCUGCCAAGCUGCUCUCCUGUUUCCUCUUCCUUGGGGCUGAUUGCAUCCCAUGAUGUGCCCAGGUUUUGAGAUGCUCCUCGUGAAUGAAAAUAGGACUGUCUGGUUCCUCCAUCCAUAGCAAGGGAGCCUAGACAGAAAUAACUUCUGUGCAUUUCUCCAGCUACAUUUAGGGAAAACUAGAAAAUACAGAAAUAUAUCAAGAAGAAAAAAAAUUUAAAAAUGACCCAAAAUCCCACCAACCAGAGACAGCUAUUAAUGAUUGUGGUAUAUUUAUUGUAAGUCUCUUUAUUUCUGUCUUCAUGCAAACACAUUUUUAAAGAAUGGACACUGGUAUUAUAUUGUUUAUACAACUCUAAAUGCUGCUUUUUCACUUAUUACAAUUAGGACUUUUUUCAUGUUAAUAAAUACUUCCUGAAAACAUAAA
rnacentral:lncRNA from 1 species